GCGCUCGGCAGGAGCGGGCGACAAAGGAGCGCCGGGCAGGAGCGCGGGUGUGCACUGGGAGGAGCGGCGCGCGGGCCUGGGAGCCGCGACUCCGCGACGCUCCUCGCUGGGAACGAUCGCGGUUACAUCCUCGAGGGCUGAGAGGGGAGGCUAAGAUCUGGACCUUUCGGAAAACGCUGCUCCAACAGAUUUUCCACAGUUUCGAGUUGGAGGGGGAGGGGAAAGACCUUACAGGAACCUCAGUUCCAGAGUGAGGAAGCAGGGUGAUCGCUCGCAGCUACUCGCUUCCAAUUCGGAUUAGAAGCGGAGGAGACGCUGAAGCGGCGAGGCGAAAACGACACCGAGGCACCCGGCGCGUGAGCGACGGUCUGGAGCAGGAGAGAAGGGAAGGAAGAGACACACAUACAUAGCAUGUGUUACCUGGUUUAUUUCGAGAUUGUUUGGGAUUGCUUUCUCUCUGGGCACCCCUCACUGCGGAAGACCAGCAGAGGCGCCCACCACUGAGCCGCCCCCGCCCGCCGCCGCCGCAGCGCCGGAGCCCCAGGCCCGGCCUCCCCGCGGCGCCGGCGCUCCGAGCUCGCCGCCGCCCGGGCCGCAGGAACCGAGUAAGUAACCCCUCUUUGGCCCCGCGCUCGCCAGCCCACUUCCUCCUCCUCAUCCCUUCCCUUCCAAACCUCUCCCGGACCCUCCUCCCCCAAGGUAGAGGACACCUCCCCCCACCCCACGCCAGGGGUGGGCCUUCCCUCCCCAACCACCCGAAGCCUCGCUGCCGUGUUACCUACACGGGGCACAAUUUUCCUACGGGCUCAGCAAUGCCGGAGCCGGGCCUGCAGGGCCGCCUCGGGAAAGUAGUGCCUCGCCUCCUCCAUUUCCUGCCCUCUCCUCGCAUCCUCUCCCUGCACUCCCACUCUGCUCGACACCGCCGCCGCCCCCGCUGGGAAAAAUAAAAUUGGAUACCAACUUUAAUCAAUAAGGACAAAUAUUGACGCUCAAACGAAAAUGACCCAAUACAGGGAGAAGGAAGCCGGAAAC
rnacentral:lncRNA from 1 species